rnacentral:rRNA from 1 species
AGUGAACGCUGGCGGCAGGCCUAACACAUGCAAGUCGAACGGCAGCACAGUGGAGCUUGCUCCUUGGGUGGCGAGUGGCGGGCGGGUGAGGAAUACAUGGCAAUCUGUCCAGUUGUGGGGGAUAACGUAGGGAAACUUAUGCUAAUACCGCGUGCGCCCUUCGGGGGAAAGACGGGGAGCUUUGGGCCUCGCGCGAUUGGAUGAGCCCAUGUUCGAUUAGCUAGUUGGCGGGGUAAAGGUCCACCAAGGCGACGCGCGAUAGCUGGUCUGAGAGGAUGAUCAGCCACACUGGGACUGAGACACGGCCCAGACUCCUACGGGAGGCAGCAGUAGGGAAUAUUGGACAAUGGGCGCAAGCCUGAUCCAGCCAUGCCGCGUGAGUGAAGAAGGCCCUCGGGUUGUAAAGCCCUUUUGUCCGGGAAGAAAAGCAUCGGGCUAAUACCACGGUGUUCUGACGGUACCGGAAGAAUAAGCACCGGCUAACUUCGUG